rnacentral:rRNA from 1 species
UUGCACUUUGCUGACGAGUGGCGGACGGGUGAGUAAUGCUUGGGAACUUGCCUUUGCGAGGGGGAUAACAGUUGGAAACGACUGCUAAUACCGCAUAAUGUCUACGGACCAAACGGGGCUUAGGCUUCGGCGCAGAGAGAGGCCCAAGUGAGAUUAGCUAGUUGGUGGGGUAAAGGCUCACCAAGGCGACGAUCUCUAGCUGUUCUGAGAGGAAGAUCAGCCACACUGGGACUGAGACACGGCCCAGACUCCUACGGGAGGCAGCAGUGGGGAAUAUUGCACAAUGGGGGGAACCCUGAUGCAGCCAUGCCGCGUGUGUGAAGAAGGCCUUCGGGUUGUAAAGCACUUUCAGUUGUGAGGAAAAGUGAGUAGUUAAUACCUGCUCACCGUGACGUUAACAACAGAAGAAGCACCGGCUAACUCCGUGCCAGCAGCCGCGGUAAUACGGAGGGUGCGAGCGUUAAUCGGAAUUACUGGGCGUAAAGCGCACGCAGGCGGUUUGUUAAGCUAGAUGUGAAAGCCCC